UACGGGGGGUGCAAGCGUUGUUCGGAAUUACUGGGCGUAAAGGGCUCGUAGGCGGCCAACUAAGUCAGACGUGAAAUCCCUCGGCUUAACCGGGGAACUGCAUCUGAUACUGGAUGGCUUGAGUUCGGGAGAGGGAUGCGGAAUUCCAGGUGUAGCGGUGAAAUGCGUAGAUAUCUGGAGGAACACCGGUGGCGAAGGCGGCAUCCUGGACCGACACUGACGCUGAGGAGCGAAAGCCAGGGGAGCAAACGGG
rnacentral:rRNA from 1 species